GACGAACGCUGGCGGCGUGCUUAACACAUGCAAGUCGAACGGUAAGGCCCUUCGGGGUACACGAGUGGCGAACGGGUGAGUAACACGUGGGUGAUCUGCCCUGCACUUCGGGAUAAGCCUGGGAAACUGGGUCUAAUACCGGAUAGGACCCUGGGAUGCAUGUCCUGGGGGUGGAAAGCUUUUGCGGUGUGGGAUGGGCCCGCGGCCUAUCAGCUUGUUGGUGGGGUGAUGGCCUACCAAGGCGACGACGGGUAGCCGGCCUGAGAGGGUGACCGGCCACACUGGGACUGAGAUACGGCCCAGACUCCUACGGGAGGCAGCAGUGGGGAAUAUUGCACAAUGGGCGCAAGCCUGAUGCAGCGACGCCGCGUGAGGGAUGACGGCCUUCGGGUUGUAAACCUCUUUCAGCACCGACGAAGCGCAAGUGACGGUAGGUGCAGAAGAAGGACCGGCCAACUACGUGCCAGCCGCCGCGGUAA
rnacentral:rRNA from 1 species